rnacentral:tRNA from 1 species
UCCGCCGUAGCUCAGCGGUAGAGCAGUCGGCUGUUAACCGAUUGGUCGUAGGUUCGAAUCCUACCGGCGGAG